CACACAUCUAUAUACCCCAACACAGAGAUACAUAAAAAAAAUAUAAACAUUGGACCCAGUAGAGGAGCCUUGGAAAUUUCUUUUUAAGAUUAUUCUAAACCACUUUUGAGAUCUCAGAGGUUCCUAACAUGAGAUCUGGGUGUUUCCAUGACUGUAGCUACCGUUUGUAGUUAACCUAUGAAAAAUAACUAUUUCUCCUGAAGUUCGUGUUAACCAUGGUCAAGUUCCUAUUUUAGGUUCCACGCCUCAGGGUGGUGAGGAACUCAAGUUCAGUUAUGCUAACUGCCGGGUACACAGCAGAGUGUUUCUAGCAUCUGUGUGGUCAAAGUAUAAUAAUGUUGCUUUUUAGAUGUUCCUGUCUUAGGACUUGCGCUCUCCCAGGGGUCAAGGGAGAAGAUAGCCUCAGCUUUGCUCACUCGGAACCCCCAGCCGGGACCUGUCUCAGUUGCUUCCCUCGUCCAUAGUUGAAGCCCAUGAGUGCUCUGUAGUUGGGGCUUAUGGAUGAUGAACCUGUCAUACAGAAUCCGUUGGAACCUGCUCAGAUGGGUCCUGAGAGUUUAAAACAACAAUACUACGAAGAGAGAGCUGGCCCAAGAACAGACUUGAGGAAGAAGGAAAAAUCCACAGCCACUACAGAGAGCCUUUUGUUCACCAGAGUUGACUCAGACAAUUCCAGAAAGGGGCACCUUGCUGAUUAUGGCUGUCCCAGAAGGAAGCAGCCAGGACAUCUCCAUAUGGAGGGAAAGAUGGCUUUUAUGUAG
rnacentral:lncRNA from 1 species